AACGAACGCUGGCGGCAGGCUUAACACAUGCAAGUCGAGCGCCCCGCCAGGGGAGCGGCAGACGGGUGAGUAACGCGUGGGAACGUACCCUUGUCUUCGGGAUAGCUCCGGGAAACUGGAAUUAAUGCCGAAUGUGCCCUUUGGGGGAAAGAUUUAUCGGAUAAGGAUCGGCCCGCGUUGGAUUAGCUAGUUGGUGGGGUAAAGGCCUACCAAGGCGACGAUCCAUAGCUGGUCUGAGAGGAUGAUCAGCCACAUUGGGACUGAGACACGGCCCAAACUCCUACGGGAGGCAGCAGUGGGGAAUAUUGGACAAUGGGCGCAAGCCUGAUCCAGCCAUGCCGCGUGAGUGAUGAAGGCCUUAGGGUUGUAAAGCUCUUUCACCGGAGAAGAUAAUGACGGUAUCCGGAGAAGAAGCCCCGGCUAACUUCGUG
rnacentral:rRNA from 1 species